rnacentral:rRNA from 1 species
CCCUUAGAUGUUCUGGGCCGCACGCGCGCUACACUGAUGCAUGCAACGAGUUCUAUCCUUGGCCGGAAGGCCUGGGUAAUCUGUGAACGUGCAUCGUGAUAGGGAUAGAUUAUUGCAAUUAUUAAUCUUGAACGAGGAAUUCCUAGUAAACGCAAGUCAUCAGCUUGCAUUGAUUACGUCCCUGCCCUUUGUACACACCACCCGUCGCACCUACCGAUCGAAGGUAAUGAUGAGCCCUCAGGAUUGUGGCCUCGUCGCGUCAGCGUCUUGGCUGCGAGAAUCUGUGCAAAUCCCUACCUUUAGAGGAAGGUGAAGUCGUAACA